UGCCCGAAAGGGUGACGAAGCGACGCCGCGUGGGUGAGGAAGGCCUUCGGGUUGUAAAGCCCUGUCAGGAGUUAAGAAAUGUAGACUCGCUAAUAUCGGGUCUAUUUGACAAAGGCUCCAAAGGAAGCCACGGCUAACUCCGUGCCAGCAGCCGCGGUAAUACAGAGGUGGCAAGCGUUGUUCGGAAUUAUUGGGCGUAAAGAGCACGUAGGUGGAUUUGUAAGUCAGACGUGAAAGCCUUCUGUUCAACGGAAGAAUUGCAUCUGAAACUACAAACCUUGAGUGUAGGAGGGGAGAAUGGAACUUCUGGUGGAGCGGUGAAAUGCGUAGAUAUCAGAAGGAACGCCGGCGGCGAAAGCGAUUCUCUGGCAUAUUACUGACACUCAGUGUGCGAAAGCUAGGGGAGCAAACGGGAUUAGAUACCCCGGUAGUCCUAGCCGUAAACGAUGGGCACUAAGUAGAGGGGU
rnacentral:rRNA from 1 species